AUUGAACGCUGGCGGCAGGCCUAACACAUGCAAGUCGAGCGGAGCGGCGGACGGGUGAGUAAUUCCUAGGCAUCUGCCCGGUAGUGGGUGACAACGUACGGAGACGGGCGCUAAUACCGCAUACUAUCAGAUGAGCCUAGGUCGGAUUAGCUAGUUGGGGGGGUAAAGGCCUACCAAGGCGACGAUCCGUAACUGGUCUGAGAGGAUGAUCAGGCACACUGGAACUGAGACGCGGUCCAGACUCCUACGGGAGGCAGCAGUGGGGAAUAUUGGACAAUGGGCGAAAGCCUGAUCCAGCCAUGCCGCGUGUGUGAAGAAGGUCUUCGGAUUGUAAAGCACUUUUAGUUGGGAGGCGUUACCAACAGAAUAAGCACCGGCUAACUUCGUGCCAGCAGCCGCGGUAAUUC
rnacentral:rRNA from 1 species